CCCUCUCUUCGCAGGUUUUUCUAACCCCACUAGCUGAGCUGCCUCCCUUCCUACGCUUAAUCUCCCUAAUGCAUUUUGUAUCCCUCGAAGUCUCCGCGUGGAGACGGGGGUGGGUGCGUAGGAUGCGUGCUCAGCCGCCGGCAGAUCUCAACCGAAAAGGGUGGCUUGCUGGAGGCGCCCCCUAAGAAAAGAACCGUGCGCAUAAGAGCCUUGGACGAAAAGAGAAACGCCCAAAUGCAACAACGAGGACUGAUGGAGGAAAACACUUAAAAAAAAGUUUCCAUUGUUAACCAGCUCAAAACAAAAUCCUCUCCGGCUAAUGUGGGUUCAAGAUACAACAUCCAUUUUCCAUUCGUUCGCUCUAUGUAUAACUCGCCCGCUGCAGCUAUGUAAAAAAUACUUUAAACGCUAGUUGCUUUACACAGAACAGCAGGAGCCCAAACUGAAGUUACUGCUUCUUUGCAAGCACCGUCUCCAUCCAAAAGCCACUCAAAGAGCGGGCGAAGGAAAGGUGACCCAUCACCAUGAAAUACACUUGCACCAGGAGAAGGUCGGGCUCUGAAACCAUGACACAGCUUCACCCUGCAAGUGCCUGUGAGACCAGGAGAAGCCCUGCAGGUCCUGACAAGGACUGAAGAGUAUGCAGCCAUGCAGUGCAGCUGGUAGCUCUGGAAGGCCCCAGAAAAAGGCUUCCCUGUGCUGCUCACCUUUGCCACAACAACAUGGGCUUUUGUGGUGGCCACAUUGUACUUUAGACCGUUUCCAGCUUGCCUUCAACUGUGUCUUAACUCCUGCCUGCUCCUCUUGCCUUCCAUCUCCCCCUGCUUUGCUAGGUAGCUGAUCCUCCUCUUUGCCUCUGGUCCUGCUUUGCCUUGCUGGGUUAUCUGAGCCUUCCCUGCUCCUGACUGUGCCUGUGCUUUUGGAUCUGCCAUGCCUUGUCAAUAUCCAAUCUCACUUGUUCCUGGCUCCACCUUCAGCUUUGGACCUGCCACUCCUUGCUGAGUAUCUACCUUACUUGUUCCUGGUUUGGCUUUCACAUUCAGACCUGCCAGGUUUUGCUGGGUUGCUGACCCUCACUUGUUCCUUACUCUGCUUCUGGUUCUGCUGUGCCUUGACCAUAUCUGACCCUUGCUUGCCUGCCUUUGCCUCUGGGCCUCCUACAUUCCACAAAGAGCUCCAUCCAGAUCCAUCACCCCUGGUCCGGGCAUGACACCUGCUGCCUAAGCCUUGGACCUGACAGAGAAUUCCAACCUGGUGUAAAACAGCUCCACAUCCAAUUUGAUUUACUAAGGAGUGAAGGCCCUGUGAUUGGUUGCCAGCAAUUAAAAGGCAAAAGGGACCCUAAACGGCUUGGGUCCUGGCUACCUGAACGAGCGCUUACGUCCGUAUAUGCCCGACCGCCCUUUGAGAUCUGCGGGAGAG